CUUGUAGGCGGUUUGUCGCGUCUGCCGUGAAAAUCCGGGGCUCAACUCCGGACUUGCGGUGGGUACGGGCAGACUAGAGUGUGGUAGGGGAGACUGGAACUCCUGGUGUAGCGGUGAAAUGCGCAGAUAUCAGGAGGAACACCGAUGGCGAAGGCAGGUCUCUGGGCCACUACUGACGCUGAGAAGCGAAAGCGUGGGGAGCGAACA
rnacentral:rRNA from 1 species